rnacentral:rRNA from 1 species
GACGAACGCUGGCGGCGUGCCUAAUACAUGCAAGUUGAGCGAUGAAGAUUGGUGCUUGCACCAAUUUGAAGAGCAGCGAACGGGUGAGUAACGCGUGGGGAAUCUGCCUUUGAGCGGGGGACAACAUUUGGAAACGAAUGCUAAUACCGCAUAACAACUUUAAACAUAAGUUUUAAGUUUGAAAGAUGCAAUUGCAUCACUCAAAGAUGAUCCCGCGUUGUAUUAGCUAGUUGGUGAGGUAAAGGCUCACCAAGGCGAUGAUACAUAGCCGACCUGAGAGGGUGAUCGGCCACAUUGGGACUGAGACACGGCCCAAACUCCUACGGGAGGCAGCAGUAGGGAAUCUUCGGCAAUGGACGAAAGUCUGACCGAGCAACGCCGCGUGAGUGAAGGAGGGUUUCGGAUCGUAAAACUCUGUUGGUAGAGAAGAACGUUGGUGAGAGUGGAAAGCUCAUCAAGUGACGGUAACUACCCAGAAAGGGACGGCUAACUACGUG